rnacentral:rRNA from 1 species
UUCGGAAUUACUGGGCGUAAAGCGCGCGCAGGCGGUCUUCCAAGUCAGUGGUGAAAGCCCGGAGCUCAACUCCGGAACUGCCAUUGAAACUGUUAGACUUGAGGACGAGAGAGGUGAGUGGAAUUCCCAGUGUAGAGGUGAAAUUCGUAGAUAUUGGGAAGAACACCGGUGGCGAAGGCGGCUCACUGGCUCGUAUCUGACGCUCAGGCGCGACAGCGUGGGGAUCAAACAGG